CCCAGAAUACACGUAAAUAUAUACAAAUGCCUCCAAAAAUAUAAAUGGCGUGGGUUUAUCUGUAAUUAAAAACCAGGAAAAACAUUUUUUCAGCUACUGUCUUCCUCAAGUGUAUACACAGCUAUAAUUUACGCUAUUUAUGAUGCACUAAAAAUUAUUUCAUCUUCAAUCCCGUAAAGUUGCAGCAUCAUUAUCAGUGACUCUUUAAGCGCCCUCUCAUCAAUCUCAAACCCCUAUCCAAAAAAUGAGAUCGUUAAACACAUACAAAAAUUGAUAACCGAAAUAAAUAGCACUACUUAUUUC